UACGUAGGGUGCAAGCGUUGUCCGGAAUUAUUGGGCGUAAAGCGUCCGUAGAUGGUUUUGUCAGUCUGCUGUCAAAGCACAGGGCUUAACCCUGUAAAGGCAGUGGAAACUACAAGACUAGAGUGCAGUAGGGGCAGAGGGAAUUCCCAGUGUAGCGGUGAAAUGCGUAGAGAUUGGGAAGAACAUCCGUGGCGAAAGCGCUCUGCUGGACUGCAACUGACAUUGAGGGACGAAAGCUAGGGGAGCGAAUGGG
rnacentral:rRNA from 1 species